rnacentral:tRNA from 1 species
AGUUAAUUAGCUUAAUAAAGCAUAUGUUUUGAAAACAUAAGACUAGAAGAUUAAAACUUCUAUUAACUU